AAUCAACGCUGGCGGCGUGCCUAACACAUGCAAGUCGAACGCGAAAGGGGGCUUCGGCUCCUGAGUAGAGUGGCGUCCGGGUGAGUAACACGUAGGUAAUCUGCCUUCGGGUGGGGAAUAACCAGUCGAAAGAUUGGCUAAUACCGCAUAAUGCAGCGGCACCUAAUGGUGAUUAGUUGUUAAAGCGGGGGAUCGCAAGACCUCGCGCCUGAAGAGGAGCCUGCGGCAGAUUAGCUAGUUGGUGAGGUAAUGGCUCACCAAGGCUUCGAUCUGUAGCUGGUCUGAGAGGACGGCCAGCCACACUGGCACUGACACACGGGCCAGACUCCUACGGGAGGCAGCAGUGGGGAAUUUUGGGCAAUGGGCGCAAGCCUGACCCAGCAACGCCGCGUGAGGGAGGAAAUCCUUCGGGAUGU
rnacentral:rRNA from 1 species